AUGUAACCAUGCAACAAAGAUAUAAUGUAAAAAAAGACAUCAAUAUUUCCGAUCAUCUAUUAACUAAUUUGUUCACUUAUUCUAUCGUUUUUCAGUGGUCGCGGCGGUUUCGAACCUCAUUCUGGCCAUGUUGAUCUCUCUUUCAAUUUCUAGGGCGUGCUGAGAGGUCUGGAAGUGUCGAUGCAAUAAAAAAAAGAAACUCGAAGGUUAAAGUCCAGCAGUCUAAGUUUUUAUUUUUUUUUUACGUAGAAUACUUUUGUCCAGAUUGUUUCAGUAUCGAAUACACAAUACAUAUAUUAUG